AUUGAAAUUUUUUUUUGUCAAAUUUGCACAUGGUUAAAAAGUCAACUAAAUAUGUAAGAGUUGUUAGGAUAAAAAAGUAGUUUUAUUUCCCUUUCCACAGAGACACUCUCUUUAAACAUUUUUCUCUAAGAUUUUAGACUUUACCUCCAUGUGUAUAUCAUACUUAUGUUGAUAUGUCUAUUUAAAAAUAAAUGUCAGAUAUUUUCUGCUGAACUAUUGCCAUAAAAUACAAAAAUUAGUUUUCUUUCUACUGUUUUACAUUACACAGGCAUACUUGCCUUCUUCUAUCUAAUUAUCUCAAAAUAGUUAUAAUUUUUGUCAGAUUUUGUACUGUUAAGAUUACAUAAAUAUAAUUUAGUGCUAUGUCGAUUAGUAAACUAUGAUCACAUUUCUCUUCAUGUACCACCUUUUGUUUUCCCUGGAGUUUAUAAUCACCUAUGUUUGCUUAUUUGCUUAGUUUUCUAUUUAUGUAACACUGAUUUAAUCCAAAGCUUUCUAACAUUUGUCUAAAGCUGUUUGCAAUAUGUACAUUCUCAUCAGGUUCAUCUUUUUAUAGAAAUCUCUCCCAGCACCUUUUGAUCUACUUCCUUGUAGGCUGGUUGCUUUACACCUGGGACACAGAUGUGUAUCUGGGAAAUCUUCCUCUACCAUCACCCUGGGUACUCCUUUUGCCUAUUUCCUGAGUUGAAUCUUCUGUUUCCUGUAUCACAUGUUCAUAUAUAUAUAUAUGCAUAUAUAUAUAUAUAUAUAUAUAUAUAUGUGUAUGUAUAUAAAUGUGUAUAUGUGUGUGAGUUUACUUAUAUUUGACAAAAGAAACAGUGGAAAUAUAACUCCAAAAUUGGUCAGUAUAGUUUAUUGUAUAGGGAAGAACAUAAUGUACUACUAAAACAAAGAUGUUAGUGAGAUUUCUGUGAACAUACCUUGUUAAAUAGUUUUCUUUCUGGAACCCUGUAGUAGAUUUUACAUAAUUAAAAAUAAUAAGCUCGAUAGAGAAGAAAAUGCAAUCUCUAAAAAUUGGGGGGAGGGAAGCAAAAAAGCAAAUUAACCUAACUACCUAACUUACAUUAAGUUGACAUAAACACACAGAAAAUAAUUAUUUUAAGUGCAUGUAAAGUAUAGUAUUUUAGUAGUACUUCCUUAGUGAGAUUUAUUUCAUAGGCAAAAAUAUCACAUUAUAUCAUAAACUGUAUUCAGUUAAUGUAUUAAUAUUAAUUAAUAAG
rnacentral:lncRNA from 13 species